rnacentral:rRNA from 1 species
AACGAACGCUGGCGGCAGGCCUAACACAUGCAAGUCGAACGCACCGCAAGGUGAGUGGCGCACGGGUGAGUAACACGUGGGAAUGUACCCUUUGGUUCGGAAUAACGUUUGGAAACGAACGCUAAUACCGGAUGAGCCCUACGGGGGAAAGAUUUAUCGCCAAAGGAGCAGCCCGCGUCUGAUUAGCUAGUUGGUGGGGUAAAGGCCUACCAAGGCGACGAUCAGUAGCUGGUCUGAGAGGAUGAUCAGCCACACUGGGACUGAGACACGGCCCAGACUCCUACGGGAGGCAGCAGUGGGGAAUAUUGGACAAUGGGCGGAAGCCUGAUCCAGCCAUGCCGCGUGAGUGAUGAAGGCCUUCGGGUUGUAAAGCUCUUUCGCACGCGACGAUGAUGACGGUAGCGUGAGAAGAAGCCCCGGCUAACUUCGUGCCAGCAGCCGCCGUAAGAC